CUCUGGCUGAUUCACCACGUAAAGGACUUGGAUCGCUCGGCUCUUUCCUAAGCGUAUUUGUCGUCUCCAAACCUGCAGUGAACUUGCCGGUCGCUGACUGUGAGCCGAGCUAGCCAAAAACGAGUUUAAUAAACAUUGUGGGUGUCACGCGCGUUCUAGAACGUCGAGGAUACAGUGAUGAUUGACACGCCAUCCGUGCUUUGGAGGAGCACACAGUGAGGCGAGAGGCAUCUUAGCCACUGAGAUAACGUGGUCAGUGCUAUUGAAGGCUCUAAGAUUGAAAGAAGGUUAAAAACCACUGGUCCAGUGAAGAACAGUUAAGAAGCUGCUGUAAACUGUAAGGAAUACUCGAGAGUUUGGGCCAGGGAAUUCAGAGAACUGAGUUUUUUAUAAAAAGCACAAGCGAUGUCUGCAAUAAUUGAACACCACAACUAACCAACUCAGGAUUGCACUAAUGGUGCCUUUUGCAAAGCUGCUGGAAUUCCAGUGUCUGAAGAGUAUGUCGUGGGAAAGCUGCACUUCAGUGGCUGCCAGCCUGCUCAAAAUUCAAAAUCCCAGCUCAGUCAACUUACCUGACAAUCUAUGGAGAUCAAAGUUCCCUCAUAACUUAGUAAUGGCCUUUGAGUGGUCACAGUUUACCUGUGAGAACUGAAAAAAAGAACUUGCAUUUUAGGGAUCCAUGCGUGCUCCUCGCCAGGCCGAGCUUUCAGAAUGACCUUCUAGGCAGUCAGCGUCAGUUGAAGCUGCUGUUUGCAGCCGGCUGCGGGAAGCGAGUUUUCACAGGAGCUGGCCGCUGCGACUGAUCAUUCGUCUUCCUCAGAUCAAAGUCCCCUUUCUAGACACGCUUGAGCAGGUGUUCUGUCUGGUAUCAAGCAGAAAGCCUAUUCUGGAAUCACAGAGUCAAUUUUCAAAGCGAAGAGAAAGGCUUGUGGAAUGAAUGGCCCCGGGUUUGUUCCGUAACUAAACAAGAAGCGCUGGUUGGGCAAACUGGCCAUUCAAGGGAUUCUCCAUAGCCCUUA